UACGUAGGGACCGAGCGUUGUUCGGAUUUACUGGGCGUAAAGGGCGCGUAGGCGGCAUGACAAGUCACUUGUGAAAUCUCUGGGCUUAACCCAGAACGGCCAAGUGAUACUGUCGCGCUAGAGUACGGUAGAGGGGGAUGGAAUUCCGCGUGUAGCAGUGAAAUGCGUAGAUAUGCGGAGGAACACCGAUGGCGAAGGCAAUCCCCUGGACCUGUACUGACGCUCAUGCACGAAAGCGUGGGGAGCAAACAGG
rnacentral:rRNA from 1 species